rnacentral:rRNA from 1 species
UACGUAGGGUGCAAGCGUUUGUCCGGAAUUAUUGGGCGUAAAGAGCUCGUAGGCGGUCUGUUGCGUCGGCUGUGAAAACCCGAGGCUCAACCUCGGGCCUGCAGCCGAUACGGGCAGGCUAGAGUUCGGCAGGGGAGACUGGAAUUCCUGGUGUAGCGGUGAAAUGCGCAGAUAUCAGGAGGAACACCGGUGGCGAAGGCGGGUCUCUGGGCCGAUACUGACGCUGAGGAGCGAAAGCGUGGGGAGCGAACAGG